UACGGAGGGGGCGAGCGUUGCUCGGAAUUACUGGGCGUAAAGGGCGCGUAGGCGGGAUGGCAAGUCGGUCGUGAAAUCCCUCGGCUCAACCGAGGAACGUCGAUCGAUACUGCUGUUCUUGAGGAUUGCAGAGGAGACUGGAAUUCCCGGUGUAGCGGUGAAAUGUGUAGAGAUCGGGAGGAACACCGGUGGCGAAGGCGGGUCUCUGGGCAAUUCCUGACGCUGAGGCGCGAAAGCGUGGGGAGCAAACGGG
rnacentral:rRNA from 1 species